rnacentral:rRNA from 1 species
CCUACGGGAGGCAGCAGUCGAGAAUCAUUCACAAUGGGGGAAACCCUGAUGGUGCGACGCCGCGUGGGGGAAUGAAGGUCUUCGGAUUGUAAACCCCUGUCAUGUGGGAGCAAAUUAAAAAGAUCGUACCACACGAGGAAGAGACGGCUAACUCUGUGCCAGCAGCCGCGGUAAUACAGAGGUCUCAAGCGUUGUUCGGAAUCACUGGGCGUAAAGCGUGCGUAGGCUGUUUCGUAAGUCGUGUGUGAAAGGCGCGGGCUCAACCCGCGGACGGCACAUGAUACUGCGAGACUAGAGUAAUGGAGGGGGAACCGGAAUUCUCGGUGUAGCAGUGAAAUGCGUAGAUAUCGAGAGGAACACUCGUGGCGAAGGCGGGUUCCUGGACAUGAACUGACGCUGAGGCACGAAGGCCAGGGGAGCGAAAGGGAUUAGAUACCCUGUAGUC